rnacentral:rRNA from 1 species
UACGUAUGGGGCAAGCGUUAUCCGGAUUUACUGGGUGUGAAGGGAGCGUAGGCGGCGGGGCAAGCCUGAUGUGAAAGCCCGGGGCUCAACCCCGGGACUGCAUUGGGAACUGCCCUGCUGGAGUGCCGGAGGGGCAGGCGGAAUUCCUAGUGUAGCGGUGAAAUGCGUAGAUAUUAGGAGGAACACCAGUGGCGAAGGCGGCCUGCUGGACGGUGACUGACGCUGAGGCUCGAAAGCGUGGGGAGCAAACAGG